UGAGUGUCACAUUGAGGCCAUAAAGCCCUA
rnacentral:piRNA from 1 species